CAGUCGCCGCGGGAAUACGAAGGGUGCAAGCGUUACUCGGAAUUACUGGGCGUAAAGCGUGUGUAGGUGGUGGUUUAAGUCCGUUGUGAAAGCCCUGGGCUCAACCUGGGAAUUGCAGUGGAUACUGGAUCACUAGGGUGUGGUAGAGGAUAGUGGAAUUUCCGGUGUAGCAGUGAAAUGCGUAGAGAUCGGAAGGAACAUCUGUGGCGAAGGCGACUAUCUGGGCCAACACUGACACUGAGGCACGAAAGCGUGGGGAGCAAACAGGAUUAGAUACCCCCGUAGUCCCUGUCUCUUAUAC
rnacentral:rRNA from 1 species